UGCUAGUUGCACGGGUUCAGACCCGUGGCGGAAAGCUCAGUAACACGUGGCCAAGCUACCCUGUGGACGGGGAUACUCUCGGGAAACUGAGGUUAAGCCCCGAUAGGGCUUCCAUCCUGGAGUGGAGGAAGUUCGAAACGCUCCGGCGCCACAGGAUGCGGCUGCGGCCGAUUAGGUAGACGGUGGGGUAACGGCCCACCGUGCCAGUAAUCGGUACGGGUGAUGAAAGUCAGAGCCCGGAGACGGUAUCUGAGACAAGAUACCGGGCCCUACGGGGCGCAGCAGGCGCGAAACCUUUACACUGCACGCCAGUGCGAUAGGGGGACUCCAAGUGCGAGGGCAUAUAGUCCUCGCUUCUCUGGACCGUAAGGAGGUCCAGGAACAAGGGCUGGGCAAGACCGGUGCCAGCCGCCGCGGUAAUACCGGCAGCCCGAGUGAUGGCCAAUAUUAUUGGGCCUAAAGCGUCCGUAGCCGGCCGGACAAGUCCGUUGGGAAAUCCACGCGCUCAACGCGUGGGCGUCUAGCGGAAACUGUCCGGCUUGGGGCCGGAGGACUCGAGGGGUACGUCCGGGGUAGGAGUGAAAUCCCGUAAUCCUGGACGGACCACCGGUGGCGAAAGCGCCUCGAGAAGACGGACCCGACGGUGAGGGACGAAAGCCAGGGUCUCGAACCGGAUUAGAUACCCGGGUAGUCCUGGCCGUAAACGAUGCCCGCUAGGUGUGGCGCAGGCUAC
rnacentral:rRNA from 1 species